GUCCUUGUAGCUCAGUGGAUAGAGCGGCUGCCUCCUAAGUAGCAGGUCGCGCGUUCAAUUCGCGCCAAGGGCA
rnacentral:tRNA from 1 species